GUUAACGUAGCAAAGCCUGGUUUUGCAAAAGACCUAAACCCUUUCCACAGAGGUUCAACUCUUUUCGUUAACU
rnacentral:tRNA from 1 species